AGCAGCCGCGGUAAUACGUAGGUGGCAAGCGUUGUCCGGAAUUAUUGGGCGUAAAGCGCGCGCAGGCGGUUUCUUAAGUCUGAUGUGAAAGCCCCCGGCUCAACCGGGGAGGGUCAUUGGAAACUGGGGAACUUGAGUGCAGAAGAGGAGAGUGGAAUUCCACGUGUAGCGGUGAAAUGCGUAGAGAUGUGGAGGAACACCAGUGGCGAAGGCGACUCUCUGGUCUGUAACUGACGCUGAGGCGCGAAAGCGUGGGGAGCGAACAGGAUUAGAUACCCUGGUAGUCCACGCCGUAAACGAUGAGUGCUAAGUGUUAGAGGGUUUCCGCCCUUUAGUGCUGCAGCAAACGCAUUAAGCACUCCGCCUGGGGAGUACGGUCGCAAGACUGAAACUCAAAGGAAUUGACGGGGGCCCGCACAAGCGGUGGAGCAUGUGGUUUAAUUCGAAGCAACGCGAAGAACCUUACCAGGUCUUGACAUCCUCUGACAACCCUAGAGAUAGGGCUUCCCCUUCGGGGGCAGAGUGACAGGUGGUGCAUGGUUGUCGUCAGCUCGUGUCGUGAGAUGUUGGGUUAAGUCCCGCAACGAGCGCAACCCUUGAUCUUAGUUGCCAGCAUUCAGUUGGGCACUCUAAGGUGACUGCCGGUGACAAACCGGAGGAAGGUGGGGAUGACGUCAAAUCAUCAUGCCCCUUAUGACCUGGGCUACACACGUGCUACAAUGGGCAGAACAAAGGGCAGCGAAGCCGCGAGGCUAAGCCAAUCCCACAAAUCUGUUCUCAGUUCGGAUCGCAGUCUGCAACUCGACUGCGUGAAGCUGGAAUCGCUAGUAAUCGCGGAU
rnacentral:rRNA from 1 species